rnacentral:rRNA from 1 species
GGAGCCGUAGCGAAAGCGAGUUUUAACUGAGCGUUCAGUUACUUGACGUAGACCCGAAACCGGGCGACCUACCCAUGAGCAGGAUGAAGCGAAAGUAAAAUGUCGUGGAGGUCCGAACCCACGAGCGUUGAAAAGCUCGGGGAUGACUUGUGGGUAGCGGUGAAAUUCCAAUCGAGCCCGGAGAUAGCUGGUUCUCCCCGAAAUAGCUUUAGGGCUAGCCUCAAGGUGA